rnacentral:rRNA from 1 species
AUUGAACGCUGGCGGCAUGCUUUACACAUGCAAGUCGAACGGUAACAGGCCUUCGGGCGCUGACGAGUGGCGAACGGGUGAGUAAUGCACCGGAACGUGCCCAGUCGUGGGGGAUAACGCAGCGAAAGCUGUGCUAAUACCGCAUACGAUCUGCGGAUGAAAGCGGGGGACCUUCGGGCCUCGCGCGAUUGGAGGGGGCGAUGUCAGAUUAGGUAGUUGGUGGGGUAAAGGCUCACCAAGCCAACGAUCUGUAGCUGGUCUGAGAGGACGACCAGCCACACUGGGACUGAGACACGGCCCAGACUCCUACGGGAGGCAGCAGUGGGGAAUUUUGGACAAUGGGCGCAAGCCUGAUCCAGCAAUGCCGCGUGCAGGAAGAAGGCCUUCGGGUUGUAAACUGCUUUUGUACGGAGCGAAAAGGCUCCCUCUAAUACAGGGGGCUCAUGACGGUGUCGUAAGAAUAAGCACCGGCUAACUACGUGCCAGCCGCCGCGGUAAGAC